AGGAUCACGCCGAAGGCCGCACUUCAUAGUCUCCGACGCACCUCCAAACCCUUUCUCCUGCUCUAGGCCCAGCGCCUUGGACGUGCACAGUAGAUCCCUCCCGGCUUCCCGGCUUCCCGUCUCGUCACCCUCUGCUCAGAACCUGAGGACGCAGCCAUGGAGCGGUCGGCCUUCAUGGAGCUGGAUGCUGGGAGCAGGCUGGUGAUGCAUCUCCGCGAGUGGCCAGCCCUGCUGGUCAGCAGCACGGGCUGGACAGUUUACAUGAGCUGGUGAAACAUGAAGAAAAUGGCCUGGUCUUUGAGGACUCAGAGGAACUGGCAGCUCUGCAGAUGCUUUUCUCAAACUUUCCUGAUCCUGCAGGCAAGCUAAACCAGUUUUGGAAGAACCUGCGGGAGUCGCAGCAGCUCCGAUGGGAUGAGAGCUGGGUGCAGACUGUGCUCCCUUUGGUUAUGGACAUACAACUCCUGGGCCAGAGGCUAAAACCCCGGGACCCCUGCUGUCCUUCCCGCAGCUUCUUCUCGGAGUCUCAGGGCAAACCCUUUUGAGCAGCGCCUCCCAGUGGCCAGAAGCUGAAAUGACGGCAGUGGUGCCGCCUGGUGAAUGAAUUGGUUCUGUGACCCGGGAA
rnacentral:lncRNA from 1 species